GUGCUCACUUUGGCGGCACAUGCACUAAAAUUAGAAAGAUACAGAGAAGAUUAACAUGGCCCCCUGCACAAGGAUGACAUGUAAAUUCAUGAAAUGUUCGAUAUUUUU
rnacentral:snRNA from 1 species